GUUCUCGGGGAAAUGCCAGCAAAGUGUACUGGAAGAGAGGCUUCUCAGAAUCUGGAUGCACAUAAACCUAGCAGUAAAGGGCUGAGCACAAAGACACAAGUUCAGCUACUGAUGCAUCCUUGUGAAUAGCCCAGUGAAGAACAGACACAUCUUGGGGAAUUCAUAAAUCUGGCACAACACAUCACUUGUGAUUUCUCUCCGCUUUGAAUCCAUGGAUGUUAUCCCCGGUAUGGGAGACAAAAGAUUUACAACACAUUCUUAAAUAUAGUUCAAGGUCACUGUGCCAGUACCUCCUUCUCCAUAGACAGUCUUUGCAAGUGGAAAAGAAAAUGUGGUGAUAAAAAAUAUAUUCUUUUCUUCCCUAAAACUGUUGAAUUGUGUCCCCAAAAAAGAUAUGUUGAAGUCCUAACCCUUACUACUUCAAAAUGUGGCCUCAUUUGGAAACAUGGUUGUUGCAGAUAUAAUCAGCUAAAAUGAAGUUAUAUUGGUAGAGCGUAGGUCCUAAUCCAAUAUGACUGUGACCUUAUAAGAAGAUGGUCACGUGAAGACACAGAGAUGCAGGAAGGAUACUGUGAAGAUGGAGGCAGAGAUUAGAGUGAUGCAUCUACAAGUCAAGGAACACCAAGGGUUACUAGCUAUCGUCAGCACCUAGGAGAGAGGCAUGGAAUACAUUUCCCCUCAGAGCUCUCAGAAGGAACCAACCCUGUCAACACCUUGAUUUCAGACUUCUUGCAUCCAGAACUGAGAUGAUAAAUUUCUGUUGUUUUAAACU